GGCCCUUCCCACACGAACCGUGGGUGGCUGCCUCCGUCCGCCGCGUCGGAAACAGCGGCUGCAGCCUCCCGGCACGGUCACCGAAAGGGGUGUCAGCUGCGAGAGCCGCGUGGGGUCGCGGAACUGCAUCCCCCGCACGGGAGCACGGAAUGGAUUCAUGGUGAACACCCCGAGGUCUCCCACCGUGGUUCCAUGCAGGGGGAUCAGCCCUGGAGCAGCUCCAUGGCCUCCUGCCCUGAGCAGCUCCACAUCCUCCUGAUGCCGAGGAGGAGCUGGACACAGCUCUGCAGCUGGGACCUCCAGAGGUCACCUGGUGACCAACACACCUGGAGAUGCAGAUACUGAGCUGAUACCUCCUUCCUCAUAGGAUGAAUCCUUCCUCCAGGAUGUCACCCAUUCAUGGUGGAACUGCAGGUUCCUGCCCUAUCUGACAGAGCUUUUCCCUGGGGCUGCAUGAGAGACUGCUUUUCAGUUUACUCUUCAUUGUUUGGACCAGAUAAUCCACCACAGUUAAAGCCACACCUUUUCCUUGUAUUGGGCUACAACACCCAGUAUCUUUAUGGUCAGAGUCUGCUGAGCCACCUGAAUUCCUGUCACCUUUUACUUCAUGGGAAAAGCAAGGAGAAGGCUUUGAAUUCCCCUGAUGUUGAGCUGAUUCUGCCCUUUUCUGGGUUUGUGCUGCCUGUCCCACCUGUGAUGUGAAGGUAAACCUGCUUUAUCAACAAGAAUUAUGUCUUAAACUGGGUCCAUCCAGAUAAAAUGCUCUAAUACUAUUGAAUAAAAUGCAAAAAAUAAAAUACACUGAUUUAAGUCCUAAACUUC